UGCGUAGGCGGAUUAAUAAGUCAGUGGUGAAAACCUGCAGCUUAACUGUAGAACCGCCAUUGAUACUGUUAGUCUUGAGUACGGUCAAGGUAGGCGGAAUGUGUAAUGUAGCGGUGAAAUGCUUAGAUAUUACACAGAACACCGAUUGCGAAGGCAGCUUACUGGGCCAUUACUGACGCUGAGGCACGAAAGCGUGGGUAGCGAACAGGAUUAGAUACCCUGGUAGUCC
rnacentral:rRNA from 1 species